rnacentral:rRNA from 1 species
GCAAAACGCGAAGAACCUUACCCACCUUUGACAUGUACGGAAUCCUUUAGAGAUAGAGGAGUGCUCGAAAGAGAGCCGUAACACAGGUGCUGCAUGGCUGUCGUCAGCUCGUGUCGUGAGAUGUUGGGUUAAGUCCCGCAACGAGCGCAACCCUUGCCAUUAGUUGCUACAUUUAGUUGAGCACUCUAAUGGGACUGCCGGUGACAAACCGGAGGAAGGUGGGGAUGACGUCAAGUCCUCAUGGCCCUUAUAGGUGGGGCUACACACGUCAUACAAUGGCUGGUACAAAGGGUUGUCAACCCGCGAGGGGGAGCUAAUCCCAUAAAGCCAGUCGUAGUCCGGAUCGCAGUCUGCAACUCGACUGCGUGAAGUCGGAAUCGCUAGUAAUCGUGGAUCAGAAUGUCACGGUGAAUACGUUCCCGGGUCUUGUACACACCG